GACGAACGCUGGCGGCGUGCUUAACACAUGCAAGUCGAACGGAAAGGCCCUGCUUUUGUGGGGUGCUCGAGUGGCGAACGGGUGAGUAACACGUGAGUAGCCUGCCCUUGACUUUGGGAUAACUUCAGGAAACUGGGGCUAAUACCGGAUAGGAGCUCCUGCUGCAUGGUGGGGGUUGGAAAGUUUCGGCGGUUGGGGAUGGACUCGCGGCUUAUCAGCUUGUUGGUGGGGUAGUGGCUUACCAAGGCUUUGACGGGUAGCCGGCCUGCGAGGGUGACCGGCCACAUUGGGACUGAGAUACGGCCCAGACUCCUACGGGAGGCAGCAGUGGGGAAUAUUGCACAAUGGGCGGAAGCCUGAUGCAGCAACGCCGCGUGCGGGAUGACGGCCUUCGGGUUGUAAACCGCUUUCGCCUGUGACGAAGCGUGAGUGACGGUAAUGGGUAAAGAAGCACCGGCUAACUACGUG
rnacentral:rRNA from 1 species